UUACUAUAGCUUGACACUGAACAUUGAGCCUUGAUGUGUAGGAUAGGUGGGAGGCUUUGAAGUGUGGACGCCAGUCUGCAUGGAGCCGACCUUGAAAUACCACCCUUUAAUGUUUGAUGUUCUAACGUGGACCCGUAAUCCGGGUUGCGGACAGUGUCUGGUGGGUAGUUUGACUGGGGCGGUCUCCUCCUAAAGAGUAACGGAGGAGCACGAAGGUUGGCUAAUCCUGGUCGGACAUCAGGAGGUUAGUGCAAUGGCAUAAGCCAGCUUGACUGCGAGCGUGACGGCGCGAGCAGGUGCGAAAGCAGGUCAUAGUGAUCCGGUGGUUCUGAAUGGAAGGGCCAUCGCUCAACGGAUAAAAGGUACUCCGGGGAUAACAGGCUGAUACCGCCCAAGAGUUCAUAUCGACGGCGGUGUUUGGCACCUCGAUGUCGGCUCAUCACAUCCUGGGGCUGAAGUAGGUCCCAAGGGUAUGGCUGUUCGCCAUUUAAAGUGGUACGCGAGCUGGGUUUAGAACGUCGUGAGACAGUUCGGUCCCUAUCUGCCGUGGGCGCUGGAGAACUGAGGGGGGCUGCUCCUAGUACGAGAGGACCGGAGUGGACGCAUCACUGGUGUUCGGGUUGUCAUGCCAAUGGCACUGCCCGGUAGCUAAAUGCGGAAGAGAUAAGUGCUGAAAGCAUCUAAGCACGAAACUUGCCCCGA
rnacentral:rRNA from 1 species